rnacentral:rRNA from 1 species
AUACGGAGGAUCCGAGCGUUAUCCGGAUUUAUUGGGUUUAAAGGGAGCGUAGGCGGACGCUUAAGUCUGUUGUGAAAGCUUGCGGCUCAACCGUAGAAUUGCAGUUGAUACUGGGUGACUUGAGUGCAGUAGAGGAAGGCGGAACUCGUGGUGUAGCGGUGAAAUGCUUAGAUAUUACGAAGAACACCAAUGGCGAAGGCAGCUCACUAGACUGUUACUGACACUGAUGCUCGAAAGUGUGGGUAUCAAACAGGAUUAGAUACCCUGGUAGUCCACACAGUAAACGAUGAAUACUCGCUGUUUGCGAUAUACAGUAAGCGGCCAAGCGAAAGCAUUAAGUAUUCCACCUGGGGAGUACGCCGGCAACGGUGAAACUCAAAGGAAUUGGCGGGG